AGAAGGCAGCGUCUGGGGCGUCUCCACCAUGGCCUGGGCUCUGCUCCUUGUCACCCUUCUCACUCAGGACACAGGGUCCUGGGCCCAGUCCGGCCUGACUCAGCCUCCCUCAGUGUCCGGGAAUCUGGGACAGACAGUCACCAUCUCCUGUGCUGGAACCAGCAGUGACAUCGGGAAAUAUAACUAUGUCGGCUGGUACCAGCAGCACCCGGGCACGGCCCCCAAAACCCUGAUUUAUGAUGUCAAUAAACGGCCCUCAGGGAUCCCUGACCGCUUCUCUGGCUCCAAGUCUGGCAACACGGCCUCCCUGACCAUCUCUGGGCUCCAGGCUGGGGAUGAGGCCGUUUAUUACUGUAGCUCAUAUAGAAGUGGUAACACUGUGCACAGUGGUCCAAGUUCAUGGAGAAACGAGACCAAAACCUGCCCUGAGCUCACAGGCUCCCCGUUGCUGUGA